rnacentral:rRNA from 1 species
AACGAACGCUGGCGGCAGGCUUAACACAUGCAAGUCGAGCGCCCCGCAAGGGGAGCGGCAGACGGGUGAGUAACGCGUGGGAAUCUACCCAUCUCUACGGAAUAACGCAUGGAAACGUGUGCUAAUACCGUACACGUCCUUCGGGAGAAAGAUUUAUCGGAGAUGGAUGAGCCCGCGUUGGAUUAGCUAGUUGGUGGGGUAAAGGCCUACCAAGGCGACGAUCCAUAGCUGGUCUGAGAGGAUGAUCAGCCACACUGGGAAUGAGACACGGCCCAGACUCCUACGGGAGGCAGCAGUGGGGAAUGUUGGACAAUGGGCGCAAGCCUGAUCCAGCCAUGCCGCGUGAGUGAUGAAGGCCCUAGGGUUGUAAAGCUCUUUCACCGGUGAGGAUAAUGACGGUAACCGGAGAAGAAGCCCCGGCUAACUUCGUGCCAGCAGCCGCCGCCGUAA